ensembl:lncRNA
GUGUGAUGCUACAUCUUAAUGUUUACAGUGUUUUCCACUGAACCACCUUUAUUUACCGUGUGUGUGUGUCUCUUCAAGGAUCAGUGCCUUGUUCAUGAUAUGGCUGCGUCACACACACUGAUGAUGAGAACCACAGGAGAGAAUAACAUGGUCUGCCCCUACACACCAUCUGAGCCCUGCAAAUGAUCCAGAAUUGAUCCAGCUGGACAAAUGUUGUUCAACCUGUCCAAGUUCUCCAUCACCCCAUUGUUGCGUUCCCUUCACUGGCUUCCUGUAGCUCCUGCAUCAGAUUUAAACACCGAUGUUCACCUACAAAGCAGCUCCCACUUACCUUAAAGCAAGUCUGCACCAUGCUCCCUCCGAGCCACCCAACAUCUCUCAGGGUAUGAGUAAAAUCUACAUCAACACCCUUCUCUAUCCUGCACCCAGGUGGAGAAAUAAACUUCCCCUGGCUGACUGAACAGCUGUAAGUGAAUUUAAUGCAAUUGAUUCUAUAAUGUCCUCUAUUUAAACCAGUAAUGCAUAUAAACAGCAUAUGAUCAUGUGUGACACAAACCCACCAAGUCACUCGUCUCAAGUUUCUGGCCAUCUAGAGUUUUGCCAUGUUCGAAACAAAAAAUAUAGCAUUACAAAUGUCACCCAGAGAAUGUAAUCCCUUCUGGAUAGGGCUCUAGGCACAUGGUUUUCAUUUAAUGUCACCAAUACACACUGCCUGGCUAUCAUUAGUUAAAUGUAAAUAAAUAAUCACAUAUUUGCAUUAAUGAAAAGAAAUGAAUUGAUAUAGUCUCAGUUUAAUUCAGAGACUAAAAUAUUUUGUUUGUAUUUGUAAUAUUUCACUUAAAGAUUAAUUACACCCAAAGCCUAUUUUUAAAAUGACUUGUGUAAGAAUAAAUAAUGUUAUUAGAGUUUCUAGAACAUCAUGUAUCAUAUCUAAACUGUUAAAAGAACAUAAGAAUUGUCUUUAGCUCAGAGUGUGCUGUGCCUCCUCUCACUGAAAUACUGAAAUGGGCAUGAAAUACUUGUAGAAUCACAAUUUUUGUGGCUUUAAUUUUGUAAAUAAUUUUUCAAACGAUAUUUAUUUUUUUCCACGCUUCAAUAUAACGGACUAAUUAGUGUACAUUCAUGAUAUAAAACUUUUAACCCUACAAUAUGUUAGAUUUGUGUUAGUCCUGACCUGGUCAUUAAAAAUAAUUCAUGUUUUUAGUGUUGCAGGUUCCCAAACCUGCCCUGAUGAGGUUGUAUCCAUAACAGUUCAGUAUGAUGAGUUUCUUUGCGCUGUAUAACUCUAAUAAUGAAAACUGGACAAUCUUUCUUUCUCCAAUUACACACUAAAGACAACUUGAUAAACAUUUCCAGUCCUCCAUUUUUUUUUCUGUCGUGCCCCAUCCAUCUCAGAUUUCCAUCCACUCUGUUUUGUAAAGUAGGGAAAGUAGGAGGAGGUGUUUACAAUAAGUCAACAAGUCUAAAAGAAGAUAAAUAGUAAAUCAGUUUGUCAGAUACUACAGAACGUCUCUGUAGGAAACUGAAGUCUAUAAACACUGAUAUUUUACCUCCUUCACAUUUCAGGUAUGACUCAAUAUUCUACUUUGAUACUUCACUUAAUUCC